GGCGUGGUAGCCAAGUGGUAAGGCGAGAGUCUGCAAAACUCUUACACAUGGGUUCGAUUCCCAUCCACGCCUCAA
rnacentral:tRNA from 1 species